GAUGAAGAACGCAGCGAAAUGCGAUAAGUAAUGUGAAUUGCAGAAUUCAGUGAAUCAUCGAAUCUUUGAACGCACCUUGCACCCUUUGGCAUUCCGAAGGGUAUGCUCGUUUGAGUGUCAUUGUACUCUCACACUCCCAAUUGCUUUGGAUUGGGAGCGGUGGACUUGGGUGUUGCUGCUUGACUGAGGCUCACCUGAAAUAUGUUAGUGCACCUCUUGAUUGGACAUAGUACGGCGUGAUAAGUGUCUUCGCCGGCUCCUCGCAAAGAGGGUGGCCGAUCGGGAGCUCUGUUGCUUCAAACUGUCUUCGGACAAUCUUCUGGCGACUUGACCUCAAAUCGAGUAGGACUAUCCGCUGAACUUAAGCAUAUCAAUAAGCGGAGGA
rnacentral:misc_RNA from 1 species